ensembl:lncRNA
GUGGAGUCAGAAAUUCAUGAUUGGAGAAUGACCAAUACAGUGGCUCAUCAAUUGUGUUUUCAAACAGAUCAGACAACCUGGUUAUGCAUAAGUUUUAAACUUGGCAGCCGCCAGUCUAUUCUUCAGGUUGUGAAAGCAAUAUUCAAAUGUCUGAUGAGGCAGAUUCCCAGUCGGAUGAUAAAAGCCUCCAUUGAAGAUGCCGACCAUAGAUUCAGCAUGGACACUUCAUCCUGGCUUACUCAGAGGGAAGAACGAAGAUCGUUUGAGGUCAUCCUGUUUACAGAACAUGUCUCCAAAUGCUGAAACACAGGGCAUCACUGAAACAGCAAGAGGAAGCAGGGAAAAUGAGGCAUGGGACCAUGCAGAAACCAUGAAGUCGCAAGAACUGGAAUGGUCACCACCCUAUCAGAUCCAGUCCCACAUCUUAAGAUCUUGAGAUAUGUAGGACCUCAGCAGACUACCAGCAUGGGGACCAUGGGCCUCCACAACCUUUCUUCAGCUGCUGGCCCACUCAUCCUUAAACUCGAUCAGGAAUAAGAGAACACCCCUCUUCUAUAGUUCAGCUGACUUCCAAACAGCUCUGGUAACUAAAAUCUUUCUUUACUGUGACCUCCUAUUAGGAUACAAUAAUUUACUGCCUCCCCGAGCCACCUAUAUUAAGUGACAGUAGAAUAAAGUUUCAACCCAGCUGCCACUGACUCCCUUCAAGCAUCUGAGGGUGGCACUCAUGUCCCAUGCCCUCUAAACAACCUCAGCCCUUCAGGGUGAAUGACCUCUGCUUGUCCAGCCUCUCCCCAUUUAACUUCACUUCUGCUCAAGUUCCUCUGAACUCCUGCCAAAGCCAAAACAGCUUGCUGUUUGUCAUUUAAGACUGAUGCUGGGAGGAACCUCACUCCGUGUCCUUUACUUUGCUCAUCACCCUGGCAGAAUGUGUGCCUGGAGCAGUUUGGGAGGAUUUAUUUUGGCUCACAGUUUCAAGGGCUAUCAGUCCAUCACCGUGGGUAAAAGCACAGCAGGGGGGAGCUCCUGAUGCUGCUGGGUCACAUCUUAGGAAUCAGGAAGCAGAGGUCAGAACGGGAGGCGGUCCAGGACACAACCCUCAAAGGCCUGCCUCAAGUGGUCUAUGUCACCAGCCAGAUAUGAUGUCCCAAAGGUCCCACAAACUUCCCAAACAGCACCACCAAUGGUAAAGAAGUGCUAAAACAUUAGCCUGUGUUUUCACAUCCAAAACCAUGCCACACUCCAGUCUCAGUCUCCUGUGUUCUCCAAGAUCCAGACAAUCCCCUCUUUGGCAUAUCAUGACAGCUCUGGGCACUCCAAAGGACAUCUUUGGUCUUGGGAUAAAAUGUACAAAGGGAGAGAGUGGAAGACAGAGGCAAUCAUGGAGGGAAAGUCAUGUGUUUUGAAAGCAGGAUAAGGGUGUGGAGUGAGGGUGGAAAGGAGCCCCCUCCUUCCCAUUGCUCUCCUAAAUGUGCACGAAAGGCUGUCACUGGAUUUAUCUGCAAAGUAUGGAAAUGAGAUCCUCUGGGGCAGUCAGCUGGAGGAUAUGCAGAUCUGAUGUGUUUACCAUGGGAUGUUCUGAAUCAUAAGGAGGCCCCUCCCCCACGUACUCUUGAAUCAGGAUCCUGCGUCUACAGGAGUGCACACUUAUUCGGUGCUGUCUUCCACAGUGUGUUUGAACCUCAAAAGGCAAACAACCACCACAGAAUCAUACACUCCUCUGCAAGCAGUCCUAUGGCCGCCUUACCACCGUGCAUCCUAUCCUCUCCUGAGUCGGUUAGCCCACUGGUUGGCUGCCUAUCUUUUAAAGCAUAGAAGAUGGAACACAGUUAAGGAGACAGUCUAAUGGCAAUAAGCAAAGUAGACGAGGCGAUGGCACUCAAUGUGUUAGAGGACGGCAGGAAGAGAGCCAAGCUUCUGUACUUCUAUUGCUCCUCUGCUCUGCAGCUUUAUGCAAGCCCCUGCACUUCUCUGGACUUCUGAUACCUCCUUUGUUUAAGUGCAACAAAGGUGGCAGUGUCCACCUUCAAGGAGCCGAACUGUUCUUCUCAACACUCUACUACACCAUGACCUCUUUACCAUAAUGAACUGACAGCUUUGAAACCAUGAGCUAAUGUAAAUCUCUCUCUCUCCCUCUCCCUCUCUCUCUCUCUUUCUCUCUCUCUCUCUCUCUCUCUCUCUCUCUCUCUCUCUCUCUCUCUCCCUCUAUCUCUAUCUCUAUCUCUAUCUAUCCCUCUAUCUCUCUCUGCGUGUGUGUCUUUAUGUGUGUCUAUGUAACUCUGUUUCUCUGUCUGUCUCAGUCUGUCUCUCUGUCCCUGUCCCUGUCCCUGUCCCUGUCUCUGCCUCUCUCUCUCUCUCUCUC